UACGAAGGGGGCUAGCGUUGCUCGGAAUCACUGGGCGUAAAGCGCACGUAGGCGGAUUGUUAAGUCAGGGGUGAAAUCCUGGGAGCUCAACUCCAGUAACUAGCCUUUGAUACUGGCGAUCUUGAGUUCGGGAGAGUGAGUGGAACUGCGAGUGUAGAGGUGAAAUUCGUAGAUAUUCGCAAGAACACCAGUGGCGAAGGCGGCUCACUGGCCCGAUACGUGACGCUGAGGUGACGAA
rnacentral:rRNA from 1 species